AUUGAACGCUGGCGGCAGGCCUAACACAUGCAAGUCGAGCGGAGCGGCGGACGGGUGAGUAAUGCCUAUGACUCUGCCUGGUAGUGGGGGAUAACGUCAGGAAAUGGGCGCUAAUACCGCAUCCUAUCAGCUGAGCAUAGGCCGGAUUAGCUAGGUGGUGGGGUAAAGGCCCACCAAGGCGACGAUCCGUAACUGGUCUGAGAGGAUGAUCAGUCACACUGGAACUGAGACACGGUCCAGACUCCUACGGGAGGCAGCAGUGGGGAAUAUUGGACAAUGGGCGCAAGCCGGAUCCAGCCAUGCCGCGUGUGUGAAGAAGGUCUUCGGGUUGUAAAGCACUUUAAGUUGGGAGGCGUUACCCGCAGAAUAAGCACCGGCUAACUUCGUGCCAGCAGCCGCGGUAAUUC
rnacentral:rRNA from 1 species